rnacentral:lncRNA from 1 species
GGCUAUGAACAUGUGAUCUUCUUGCCUCAGCCUCCAGAAAUGCUGAAACUACAGGUGUUUGCAAUGACGCCCGGCCCAGCCCUUUUUAUUUUGAGACGGGAUCUUCCCUAGGUUCUCCAGCUGGUCAAUGAACUUUACCACUGAGCCACAUCGCCAGCCCUUUUUUAUAUUUUAUUUCAAGACAGGGCCUCACCGAAUUGCUCAGGGCCUUGCUAAAUUUCUGAGGCUGACUUUGAACUGGUGAUCCUUCUGCCUGAUCUGUCUGCUGAUGCCCUGCUUAAAAAGGUACCUUACAUCCCUAAAUCUACAUAAUUAGACUAAGAAAGCUUGGGGGAGGAGGAAAAUAAGUGUUAGGAGUGACCAGGAAAAAAAAAAAAAAAAGACAGCUAAAAAUGGUAGAUUUAAAUUUUUAAAUUGCAUUUAUCAAAUUAAGAAUUUAUUCAGGUGCUUAUCAUCAGUGGAUGUUAAAACCAUCAUGUGAUAAUUUCUUGGGAAACAGGACAGUGAGAGGAUAUGAAAGUAACACUCCAGAUUGUUUAAUUAACAAUUGGGGAAGUGGUAAAAUUUUGAUGGAGAAACUUAGUGGAUAUCAUACUUAACCAAGUGAUCACUUUAUCAUCACCAAUAAUGCAACAAACUAAAAUGACGUAGUGUGGCAAGUACAACAUAUAACCCAUGACUUAUGCAUACCCAAACCGUUCAACUUUUAUCUAAUCUGAG